rnacentral:rRNA from 1 species
CAGUCGCCGCGGUAAUACAGAGGGUGCGAGCGUUAAUCGGAUUUACUGGGCGUAAAGCGUGCGUAGGCGGCUUUUUAAGUCGGAUGUGAAAUCCCUGAGCUUAACUUAGGAAUUGCAUUCGAUACUGGGAAGCUAGAGUAUGGGAGAGGAUUGUAGAAUUCCAGGUGUAGCGGUGAAAUGCGUAGAGAUCUGGAGGAAUACCGAUGGCGAAGGCAGCCAUCUGGCCUAAUACUGACGCUGAGGUACGAAAGCAUGGGGAGCAAACAGGAUUAGAUACCCCGGUAGUCCCUGUCUCUUAUAC